GGCUUCGUAGCCCAGGUAGUAGAGCGCUUGCCGCAUUGAGGCAUGGUGUUUCUGUCGCUGGUUCGAAUCCAGCCGAAGCCC